GGACGAACGCUGGCGGCGUGCUUAACACAUGCAAGUCGAACGGAAAGGCCCUGCUUUUGUGGGGUGCUCGAGUGGCGAACGGGUGAGUAACACGUGAGUAACCUGCCCUUGACUUUGGGAUAACUUCAGGAAACUGGGGCUAAUACCGGAUAGGAGCUCCUGCUGCAUGGUGGGGGUUGGAAAGUUUCGGCGGUUGGGGAUGGACUCGCGGCUUAUCAGCUUGUUGGUGGGGUAGUGGCUUACCAAGGCUUUGACGGGUAGCCGGCCUGAGAGGGUGACCGGCCACAUUGGGACUGAGAUACGGCCCAGACUCCUACGGGAGGCAGCAGUGGGGAAUAUUGCACAAUGGGCGGAAGCCUGACGCAGCAACGCCGCGUGCGGGAUGACGGCCUUCGGGUUGUAAACCGCUUUCGCCUGUGACGAAGCGUGAGUGACGGUAAUGGGUAAAGAAGCACCGGCUAACUACGUG
rnacentral:rRNA from 1 species